rnacentral:rRNA from 1 species
AGAAUCAACGCUGGCGGCGUGCCUAACACAUGCAAGUCGAACGAGAAAGUGGAGCAAUCCAUGAGUAAAGUGGCGACCGGGUGAGUAACACGUGACUAACCUACCUUCGAGUGGGGGAUAACCUCGGGAAACCGGGGCUAAUACCGCAUAACAUCUUUGAAGUGGAAAUUUCGGAGAUCAAAGGAGCAAUUCGCUUGAAGAGGGGGUCGCGGCUGAUUAGCUAGUUGGCGGGGUAACGGCCCACCAAGGCUUAGAUCGGUA